rnacentral:rRNA from 1 species
GAGCUUUAGUGCCGUUAAUCGGGCUGUCCACCAGUUAAAUAACUGGUGAAGAAAGGGCCGGGCAAGACCGGUGCCAGCCGCCGCGGUAAUACCGGCGGCUCGAGUGGUGGCCACUAUUACUGGGCUUAAAGCGUUCGUAGCUGGUUUGUUAAGUCUCUGGGGAAAUCUUCCGGCUUAACCGGAAGGCGUCUCAGGGAUACUGGCAGACUAGGGACCGGGAGAGGUGAGGGGUACUCCAGGGGUAGGAGUGAAAUCCUGUAAUCCUUGGGGGACCACCUGUGGCGAAGGCGCCUCACCAGAACGGCUCCGACAGUGAGGGACGAAAGCUGGGGGAGCAAACCGGAUUAGAUACCCGGGUAGUCCCAGCUGUAAACGAUGCGCGUUAGGUGUAUCGGUGACCACGAGUCACCGAGGUGCCGAAGAGAAAUCGUGAAACGUGCCGCCUGGGAAGUACGGUCGCAAGGCUGAAACUUAAAGGAAUUGGCGGGGGAGCACCACAACGGGUGGAGCCUGCGGUUUAAUCGGACUCAACGCCGGGAAACUCACCAGUUAAGACAGCUGAAUGAUAGUCGGGCUGAAGACUCUACUUGACUAGCUGAGAGGAGGUGCAUGGCCGUCGUCAGUUCGUACUGUGAAGCAUCCUGUUAAGUCAGGCAACGAGCGAGACCCACGCCAACAGUUGCCAGCUCGUCCUCCGGGAUGGUGGGGACACUGUUGGGACCGCCUCUGCUAAAGAGGAGGAAGGAAUGGGCAACGGUAGGUCAGCAUGCCCCGAAUUAACUGGGCUACACGCGGGCUACAAUGGGUGGGACAAUGGGUAUCGACACCGAAAGGUGAAGGCAAUCUCCUAAACCCAUCCUUAGUUCGGAUUGUGGGUAAAACUCACGGACAUGAAGCUG